AGCUCCAAUAGCGUAUAUUAACAUUGCUGCAGUUAAAAAGCUCGUAGUCGAAUUUCUGGCCUUCCAAACGCCAUCCGUCCAUUUGUGAUGGAGUGUCAGUUUGUGGGUCAUCCUUCUGGAAAGCACUUCUACCCUUGAUUGGGUCGGUUGUGCGAUUCAGAUCAUUUACUGUGAGCAAAUGAGAGUGUUCAAAGCAGGCUUUAAGCUAUGCUCGAAUCUUUUAGCAUGGAAUAAUAAGAUAGAACUUCGGUUUUAUUUCGUUGGCCAUAAAACUAAAGUGAUGAUUGAAAGGGAUAGUUGGGGGUGCUCGUAUUCAGGGGCUAGCGGUGAAAUGCAAUGAUUCCCUGAAGACGAACUAAUGCGAAAGCAUUCACCAAGGAUAUCUUCUUUGAUCAAGAAC
rnacentral:rRNA from 1 species